ACGGAUUGGGGUGUUACAGCAACACUUGGGGCUCUAGGCCGGAAGGUGCUUCAAUUACUUCCGGAGACUUUUUCGAGGCUCUAACGUCGUCCGAGUUUUAUAAGAACACCAAGGUUCGUGAUAUCUCGGAGUCGUUCCUCUGGGCACCGUUCCUUGCGUUGCAGAAAUCGAACACCUUUCUGACCAUGUUGUUACUGCUUUCCAUGUACAAAAUGAAGAGUGUUCCUGUACUUGAUCUGGACGAUGGAAAGAUCGAUAACAUCAUAAUACAGUGCUUCAGGCCUUUAAGUUAAUGAGGAAAAACAGAAUCGGAGGCAUACCCGUAAUCGAACACGGGCGGGAAAAAGCUAUCGGUAACAUCGCCUUCGAGAUGCACAAUUUCUUUUAACCGCACUGGAUAUCUACCGUGAUUACAGAUCAAUCACGACUAAGAACUUCCUAAUAGCGGUUCGAAACUACUUG